rnacentral:rRNA from 1 species
CCUACGGGAGGCAGCAGUGAGGAAUAUUGGUCAAUGGACGGGAGCCUGAACCAGCCAAGCCGCGUGAAGGAAGACGGCCCUAUGGGUUGUAAACUGCUUUUGUACAAGGACAAAACUGAGGACGAGUAUCCAGCUGAGUGUACUGGACGAAUAAGCAUCGGCUAACUCCGUGCCAGCAGCCGCGGUAAUACGGAGGAUCCAAGCGUUAUCCGGAUUUAUUGGGUUUAAAGGGUGCGUAGGCGGAUUGUUAAGUCAGAGGUGAAAUGUCCGGGCUUAACUCCGGACCUGCCUCUAAUACUGGUAGUCUAGAGAGUAGGUGCGGUAGGCGGAAUGUAUGGUGUAGCGGUGAAAUGCUUAGAGAUCAUACAGAACACCGAUUGCGAAGGCAGCUUACC